rnacentral:rRNA from 1 species
CGCUGAAGGAGGAGCUUGCUCUUCUGGAUGAGUUGCGAACGGGUGAGUAACGCGUAGGUAACCUGCCUGGUAGCGGGGGAUAACUAUUGGAAACGAUAGCUAAUACCGCAUAACAGUAGAUGUUGCAUGACAUUUGCUUAAAAGGUGCAAUUGCACCACUACCAGAUGGACCUGCGUUGUAUUAGCUAGUUGGUGGGGUAACGGCUCACCAAGGCGACGAUACAUAGCCGACCUGAGAGGGUGAUCGGCCACACUGGGACUGAGACACGGCCCAGACUCCUACGGGAGGCAGCAGUAGGGAAUCUUCGGCAAUGGACGGAAGUCUGACCGAGCAACGCCGCGUGAGUGAAGAAGGUUUUCGGAUCGUAAGGCUCUGUUGUAAGAGAAGAACGAGUGUGAGAGUGGAAAGUUCACACUGUGACGGUAGCUUACCAGAAAGGGACGGCUAACUACGUGCCAGCAGCCGCGGUAAUACGUAGGUCCCGAGCGUUGUCCGGAUUUAUUGGGCGUAAAGCGAGCGCAGGCGGUUAGAUAAGUCUGAAGUUAAAGGCUGUGGCUUAACCAUAGUACGCUUUGGAAACUGUUUAACUUGAGUGCAAGAGGGGAGAGUGGAAUUCCAUGUGUAGCGGUGAAAUGCGUAGAUAUAUGGAGGAACACCGGUGGCGAAAGCGGCUCUCUGGCCUGUAACUGACGCUGAGGCUCGAAAGCGUGGGGAGCAAACAGG